rnacentral:rRNA from 1 species
UACGUAGGGUGCAAGCGUUGUUCGGAAUUACUGGGCGUAAAGCGCACGUAGGCGGACUGUUAAGUCGGGGGUGAAAUCCUGGGGGCUCAACCUCAGAAUUGCCUCCGAUACUGGCAGUCUCGAGUGCGGGAGAGGUGAGUGGAAUUCCCAGUGUAGAGGUGAAAUUCGUAGAUAUUGGGAAGAACACCAGUGGCGAAGGCGGCUCACUGGCCCGUAACUGACGCUGAGGUGCGAAAGCGUGGGGAGCAAACAGG